rnacentral:rRNA from 1 species
UACGGAGGGUGCGAGCGUUGUCCGGAAUCACUGGGCGUAAAGGGCGCGUAGGCGGCGCGAGCAGUCGAUCGUGAAAGUCCGGAGCUCAACUCCGGAUCGGCGGUCGAUACUCUCGUGCUUGAGCACUGUAGAGGCAGAUGGAAUUCCGGGUGUAGCGGUGGAAUGCGUAGAGAUCCGGAAGAACACCGGUGGCGAAGGCGGUCUGCUGGGCAGUCACUGACGCUGAGGCGCGAAAGCUCGGGGAGCGAACGGG